UACGAAGGGGGCUAGCGUUGCUCGGAAUCACUGGGCGUAAAGGGUGCGUAGGCGGGUCUUUAAGUCAGGGGUGAAAUCCUGGAGCUCAACUCCAGAACUGCCUUUGAUACUGAAGAUCUUGAGUGCGGGAGAGGUGAGUGGAACUGCGAGUGUAGAGGUGAAAUUCGUAGAUAUUCGCAAGAACACCAGUGGCGAAGGCGACUUCCUGGCCUGUUCUUGACGCUGAGGCGCGAAAAGCUAGGGGAGCAAACGGG
rnacentral:rRNA from 1 species